GGAGGGAGAUCCAACGCGAUCCAGCCUUGGCCUCCACUGCCUCGGCCUCGCGCCUCGCCAGAGCAGCUCAGCCGUCGGCCGAAGUCGCGCAGGUCGCCGUGUUCCCCCGCUCUUCUUCCUCCCUCUGUUUAUCUCUUCCUUUUUUCUCUCAAGUCUCAACCCCCUCUGUACUUCUCUUUGCAAGGAGGCCGCCAUGGACUUCCUCGUCGAGCCAUCGCCGGAGUUCCAAGUCCGCGCCGCUCGAAACCGUCUUCAACCUCCGUCAGCCCUUGUUCCUCCAUGCCCCGCGAAGCGCAUGCCAAGCCGUCGCCGCGUCGAGCUCCACCGCCCAAGUCCGCUGUCCCGCCGCCCGCCGGACCUCCCUGGCUGUCUUCCUCCACUGCAUCUAGUCGCUCCUCGAACGCAUCAAGUCCCCCUGCAUCAAGCGCCGCCCUCGCCAAGACGCAUCAAGCGUUGGUGCUCUUCUGCCUCAUCGGGUGGAUGACACCCAGCGCACUCACGCGCGUGGGGUCAAGGGCGUUGACCGCGCCCCUGCCUGGGCAGAUCGCCAGCGCCUCCCCGCUCGAUCCCCUGCUCGACCGCUCGCAUGCAGCCUGAGCUCCGGCGAGGUUGAUCUGGACGGCUCGGCAGCGUCACCGGCGGUAGUAACUCUAAUAGGCCACUACACUUUCCAAAUUCCAAUGCUCGCGUGUUGGUCGUUCCCAAGUUUUCACUACCCUGAGCCUUCGAGUACAAGAGGCUGCUGCUUGACUAUAACAGCGAACACGACCAACAAGUUCCGCCAGCGCGAGGCAAGCGACGACAUGCUCGGUUACCCCCACCUAUGGAGCAGGUGCUCUGCUCUUGCACACGUCUGGCACCGUCUCCGGCGCGGUGGUGCUUCUUGAGGCGACCGGCGUGAUGGCGGCUGUGUACGGCGGCGACCACAAGCUCUCCGGUGAGUCGGCUCCAUCUUCUAGCCCUAGCUCCCUAUUUUCUGCUCCUAUAGCAUGCUCUGUUGGUUUAGAACACUAGCAGCAGUAGCCUACCGUGUAUACGUACUAAACAGCAGGAGCUCAAUCACCUUGUGUACACUAGCAGCUUGCUUACACACUUGUCACUUUUGCUUGUGAUAGCCAUUACGUAGCUGAAUCAUGUCCGUGUCUACUAAUCAUCAGUUCAUAGUAUUUGGCUUCUGUGUGAUGGUCUGCGACUAUUUUAUGGUGAUGUGGAUAUACUUUCUGAUUUAAAGUUACUAAUAUUUUUUGUUUUGAUUCUUUCUCUGGUGCGAGGAAAGCUGUAGUAGACGUCAACGAUGCCUACUUGCUUGGUUGCUACAGUGAUGCAUGCGCCGGUCAAGCAAGCACACGUGCAUAUACGUACAUGUUAGGAUAGUAGCAGAUGUGCCAUAAUUCCUGUGUAAGGAAAUGUAUUCCUGAGAUGAUUUUGUUAUGUUAUCUAAACCUGGGAGAUAUGUUAUGUGAUGUGAUAUGAUGGAUGAUCUGAAUUCGACAUUGAGUUUUCCUGAUUUGAAUAUGAAACAAUGUCGGAUGCGUGUGUGUAACUGGAUUAAA